UGAGACAUUUGGACCAGCCGUGAGUGAUCAACCAUUGGAGCAAGCUAUGGAGCUUGAAUAGCUCAUUGGAAUUGGUGUAUAUUUGUAAAAGUGGAUUGCUGAAACUGUUGGUGAAGAACAAAGGUCGACUGAAGCAUUGAGGUAAGGAUGCUGCAGGAGCCUCUGGUGGCAAGUGGCCAUAUCUGGAUUACGCAUGAAAUGUGGCAUUUCUUUUGAGAUUAUACAUGUUGUUUUGUAGCUCACAUGUAUAGAAUUGUAAUGAAUAGGCAAUGCUAGAUUUAUGAUUUGUAUAUUGGAAUGGACUUAGCCUAUGCUCAUGCCUUUGGUUACACCUUUUGUUGAUGGGAGCCAAGGGAAUGAUCAUAGUGUUUUGUAAGCUAAGUUCUACGAUUU